ACACCGUUGGUGAAGUGGUUAUCAUGCUUGCCUUCCAUCUUCAGCUUAUUUAUUUGUUGGGUCAGCAAGCGGCUCGGGUUCGAUUCCCGAACGGUGUA